rnacentral:ribozyme from 1 species
ACAAUGAAACGAAGAGAAAGCGUGAAGCGAAUAAAAGCAAAGGAAAACCAAAGCACACAACUCAGACACUUCACCCAGUUCCUUUCGCUUUGUCUUUCUUCUUAUUUGGCUUAAUUCGUGCGGUCUUU